GUGGGGAAUAUUGGACAAUGGGCGCAAGCCUGAUCCAGCCAUGCCGCGUGAGUGAUGAAGGCCCUAGGGUUGUAAAGCUCUUUCACCGGUGAAGAUAAUGACGGUAACCGGAGAAGAAGCCCCGGCUAACUUCGUGCCAGCAGCCGCGGUAAUACGAAGGGGGCUAGCGUUGUUCGGAUUUACUGGGCGUAAAGCGCACGUAGGCGGAUCGUUAAGUGAGGGGUGAAAUCCCGGGGCUCAACCCCGGAACUGCCUUUCAUACUGGCGAUCUUGAGUUCGAGAGAGGUGAGUGGAAUUCCGAGUGUAGAGGUGAAAUUCGUAGAUAUUCGGAGGAACACCAGUGGCGAAGGCGGCUCACUGGCUCGAUACUGACGCUGAGGUGCGAAAGCGUGGGGAGCAAACAGG
rnacentral:rRNA from 1 species